GACGAACCGUGCGAACGUUGUUCGGAAUCACUGGGCUUAAAGGGCGCGUAGGCGGGUGUGUAAGUCUGUGGUGAAAGCCCCCAGCUUAACUGGGGAAGUGCCAUGGAUACUGCACAUCUUGAGGAGGGUAGGGGCGUCUGGAACAGUCGGUGGAGCGGUGAAAUGCGUUGAUAUCGACUGGAACUCCGGUGGCGAAGGCGAGGCGCUGGACCCUUCUGACGCUGAGGCGCGAAAGCCAGGGGAGCGAACGGG
rnacentral:rRNA from 1 species